rnacentral:rRNA from 1 species
UACGAAGGGGGCUAGCGUUGCUCGGAAUCACUGGGCGUAAAGCGCACGUAGGCGGAUUGCUAAGUCAGGGGUGAAAUCCUGGAGCUCAACUCCAGAACUGCCUUUGAUACUGGCGAUCUCGAGUUCGGGAGAGGUGAGUGGAACUGCGAGUGUAGAGGUGAAAUUCGUAGAUAUUCGCAAGAACACCAGUGGCGAAGGCGGCCAUCUGGACCGGCACUGACGCUGAGGCGCGAAAGCGUGGGGAGCAAACAGG